CCGACACCAGAGGGCGAACCCAGGUGGGGCAGGACUCCGGGAGGAAGGGCCUGGGGGAGGCCCUCCCCCACCUUCCUCGCCUCCCUCACCUUCGCUGGCUGCUCAUCUUUCUGCACACUGCAGCAGACUGUCUGCAAGCUGUGUCAGUGGAGGUGCCCACUGUGCCUGCCUGCGUCCUUCAGCUGGCACUGCCCUGCCCACACCCCUGCUCUGGGAGCCCAUGACAGCCAUGAGCCCACUGGGCCUAAAGGUAGGAUUCACAGGGUGCUUGGGGAGCUGCAGGGCCUUCCUGGCCCCAAACUCUGAUUAAAGCUGGGGAGAGAACCACAAACUCUGAAAAGUUGAGUUCAUUCUUAGUAGUUCCUCCACAGUAAAGCAAUAUAAAAGGGUCAGUAUUGCUUUGUUUGGGUUGAUGCCUCCUCUUGUGUGUGUCUAAGGUCCAAACUGGUGAGAGAGGAGAAUCAUGAGUUCAAGGCCAGCCUGGGCUACAUAGAGUUCAAGGCAAACCUUGAAUACGCAGCAAGACUGUCUCAAACAGAACAAAACAAAGUAGAUGUGAAUUGGCCACCUCAAAGGGAAAAUUAGAAGUCUGUUUGGACUCUCCAGUAAGCUCCCUCCCCUUGAGCUGAGCUGGUUUGAAAGGGUUUUUUGGGGGAGGGGUUUUGUUUUUUUAGUCUUUUGCAGUACCAGGGAUUGAACCACACAAGGGAUGCACCACUGAGCUACAUUCCCAGCUCUACUCUGAGGCAGAGUCUAAGUUGCCAAGGGUGGCCUUGAACUUGUAAUGUUCUUGCCUCAGCCUCCAAGUAGCCAGCAUUAUAGGUGUGCACCACUGCUCUCAGCUUGGAUUUCUGUAAUCGCACCCACUGCCGCUUAAGUGGGACAGGAUACAGCUGUCAGAGCCAACGCCAACCACUGGGACCUCAAGGCCACCGCUACCCAGAGGGAGGUUUCAGCAAGAGGCAUCUGACCCACACAUCUCUAGAGAAGGGAGGGAUGCCUAUUUCCUCAGGCCAGCUUAAUCCAGCCACGCUUUCAAGCCUGGGUUCUGUGUUUAAAACCAGAUGUGCAGCUGGAGCCACUUACUGUUCCUUAGGCAGCAGAGGGGCUGUCUGAUGAAUUCUGCCAGUGUACUUCCUUUGAGAUGGACCCAUAUUGCAUCAGCCCAGUCUGAAGAGGUACUGCUUUAGCAUCACCCUUAUCUCAUUAUCCACCCUGCUUUCAUUGGCCUGGCUUCUGCACUGAGAGGACCCUAAACCUUCUGGCUGGCAGAGCUGCUUCAAAGCCAGCGUGAGACCACUGCUGAAAUUGGGGGCAGGAUUGGGCUUCCGGUGGGAGACAUUCCGAUUUUACAUGACAAAAAUAAGGCUGCAUCCAAGUCUCUGUUUUCAAGCCCACGUUUAACUACUUCCUGUCAGUGGCUGAGGGCAGGAGGCUGGCUCCGGGGAUGGCCAUCUGGCCGACAAGCGUUGGGGCCCAGGCUGAUGACAGUGGCUGCUGCCUCCAACACAAAC
rnacentral:lncRNA from 1 species